GGGCCCGCACAAGCGGUGGAGCAUGUGGUUCAAUUCGAAGCAACGCGCAGAACCUUACCAACCCUUGACAUGUCCAGUAUGGGCUUCAGAGAUGAGACCCUUCAGUUCGGCUGGCUGGAACACAGGUGCUGCAUGGCUGUCGUCAGCUCGUGUCGUGAGAUGUUGGGUUAAGUCCCGCAACGAGCGCAACCCUCGCCCUUAGUUGCCAUCAUUUAGUUGGGCACUCUAGGGGGACUGCCGGUGAUAAGCCGCGAGGAAGGUGGGGAUGACGUCAAGUCCUCAUGGCCCUUACGGGUUGGGCUACACACGUGCUACAAUGGCGGUGACAGUGGGAUGCAAAGGCGCGAGCCUACGCAAAUCUCAAAAAGCCGUCUCAGUUCGGAUUGGGGUCUGCAACUCGACCCCAUGAAGUCGGAAUCGCUAGUAAUCGUGGAUCAGCAUGCCACGGUGAAUACGUUCCCGGGCCUU
rnacentral:rRNA from 1 species